GUAUAUUAUGCAUCAAAUUCCAUUUCCUUCUACACUGGUGUAUAUGUGUGGUGGACCUGAGGAAGCCCUCAGAAAAGGUCUACACAAGAGGUGCACAAAUAGAUGGAGAAAUGAAGGACGACAGAGCGUGCACGGUCAAAGAAGGGCCAGCGACAACUCGUCAUGCUAUUUCAAUAAUGAUCCUUCCGCAGGUUCACCUACGGAAA
rnacentral:misc_RNA from 1 species